UGGGGAAUAUUGGACAAUGGGCGAAAGCCUGAUCCAGCCAUGCCGCGUGUGUGAAGAAGGUCUUCGGAUUGUAAAGCACUUUAAGUUGGGAGGAAGGGCAUUAACCUAAUACGUUAGUGUUUUGACGUUACCGACAGAAUAAGCACCGGCUAACUCUGUGCCAGCAGCCGCGGUAAUACAGAGGGUGCAAGCGUUAAUCGGAAUUACUGGGCGUAAAGCGCGCGUAGGUGGUAUGUUAAGUUGGAUGUGAAAGCCCCGGGCUCAACCUGGGAACUGCAUUCAAAACUGACUGACUAGAGUAUGGUAGAGGGUGGUGGAAUUUCCUGUGUAGCGGUGAAAUGCGUAGAUAUAGGAAGGAACACCAGUGGCGAAGGCGACCACCUGGACUAAUACUGACACUGAAGUGCGAAAGCGUGGGGAGCAAACA
rnacentral:rRNA from 1 species